UGGCGUUCCUUUGAACCAGUUCACAUUUCUUCCAAUGGAGAGUCUGAAUCAGGGAAUAUAUUCAAGGCAGCGUUUUGUACCGGAGGCUUUUGGAAACAGGCAGGAUGGAUGGACAACAGCUCAGCCACAGGGAAUCUUCAAAUCUGGUGAGGAGAAAAAUGCCCCAUAAUAGGGCUGAUAGCCAGGACUGCUGGUGGAUGUGUGAUUUUCAGCUCCUUGUACCCUACGACUGGAGGAUCACCAAUGACGACUGAGAACAUUCAUGUGGAGAUGCAUGUGCAGCAAUCAG